UGUUUUGCUCUCUUGUCUUGCCCACAGAUUGACCUUGCUGAUACAGAGACAACUUCCUAGGAGCUGCUAAGAUGGGCAUGAGAAUCAAACUGCAAAGCAGCAACCACCCCAACAACCUGCUGAAGGAACUCAACAAGUGCCGGCUGUCGGAGACCAUGUGCGAUGUCACCAUCGUGGUGGGGAGCCGCUCCUUCCCCGCCCACAAAGCCGUGCUGGCGUGCGCAGCCGGCUACUUCCAGAACCUCUUCUUAAAUACUGGGCUAGAUGCCGCCCGGACCUACGUGGUGGACUUCAUCACCCCUGCCAACUUUGAGAAGAUCCUGAGCUUUGUGUACACGUCAGAGCUCUUCACAGACCUGAUCAACGUUGGGGUCAUCUAUGAGGUCGCCGAGCGGCUGGGGAUGGAGGACCUGCUUCGAGCAUGCCAUUCCACUUUCCCUGACCUAGAGAGCACUACCAUAGCUAAGUCCUUGACCAGCACCAGCCAGUGUGUCACUCUGAGCUGUCCUUCAGUAGAUCCCACCCACCCCCUUGGAGAGCUCCAGGGGAACGGGGAACACUUCGGUCCUGAUAGAAACUAUGUGCUGCCUACUGAUGCAGGGGGAAGCUACAAAGAGGAAGAGCGGAGUGUUGCGGGUGACACUAAUCACGGCUUGCCCCUGCCACAGCUGCCACUGCCUCCAAAGUCGGAAGACCACGACGCCCCUGUUCCCUUCACGUCUGUUCCUAGUAUGGUGACCCCGUCACCAGUCCUAGGUACUAUCAGCACAGGCAUCCAGACCAGCACGAGUUCUUGCCAGCCAUACAAGGUUCAAAGCAACGGAGACUUCAGUAAAAGCAACUUCUUCUCCUCUGAUAAUGCCGUAGACAUUACGACCCAGACCAAUUCCUGUUUGAGCAAUAGCGACCACUCCAGAGAUCCAGGCUUCGGACAGAUGGAUGAGCUUCAGUUGGAGGACCUGGGUGACGAUGACCUGCAGUUUGAGGACCCGGCUGAAGACAUCGGGACCGCGGAGGAGGUGAUUGAGCUGAGCGACGACAGCGAGGACGACCUGGCUUUCGGUGACAGUGACAACCGGGAGAAUAAGGCCAUGCCCUGCCAGGUGUGCAAGAAAGUUCUAGAGCCCAACAUUCAGCUGAUACGGCAGCACGCGCGGGACCACGUAGACUUGCUCACGGGCAACUGCAAGGUCUGUGAGACCCAUUUCCAGGACCGAAACUCCCGGGUGACACAUGUCCUGUCUCACAUCGGCAUUUUCCUGUUUUCCUGCGAUAUGUGUGAGACAAAAUUCUUCACCCAGUGGCAGCUGACCCUGCACCGGCGGGAUGGGAUAUUUGAGAACAACAUCAUUGUCCACCCUAAUGAACCCCUGUCUGGGAAACUGGGUCUCUUUCCAGGGGCAGCCUCCCCAGAAUUGAAAUGUGCUGUCUGUGGGAAAGCACUGGCCAAAGAUUUCCAUGUGGUCCGUUGCCACAUCCUGGAGCAUGUGAACUUGAAGGGCCAGGCCUGCAGCGUCUGUGACCAGCGCCACCUCAACCUCUGCAGCCUCAUGUGGCACACACUGUCCCAUCUGGGCAUUUCCGUCUUCUCCUGCUCAGUCUGUGCCAGCAGCUUUGUGGACUGGCACCUGCUAGAGAAGCACAUGGUCGUGCACCAGGGCCUGGAGGAUGUCCUCUUCCGCUGCCACCUGUGCAGCCAGAGCUUCAGGUCGGAGGCAGCCUACCGCUACCACGUCAGCCAGCACAAGUGCGGCAGCGGCCUUGACACACGGCCCGGCUUGGGGCUACCGCACCUGGCCCUCCAGAAGCGGAAGCUGCCCUCUGAGGAGUUUCUGAGUGAGGAGCUGGCUCUGCAGGGCCAACCUGGGAAUAGUAAAUACAGCUGCAAGGUCUGUGGCAAAAGGUUCGCCCACACGAGUGAGUUCAACUACCACCGGCGGAUCCACACAGGUGAGAAACCUUACCAGUGCAAGGUUUGUCACAAAUUCUUCCGCGGCCGCUCGACCAUCAAGUGCCACCUCAAGACACACUCAGGGGCACUCAUGUACCGCUGCACGGUCUGCGGCCACUACAGCUCCACCCUUAACCUCAUGAGUAAACAUGUCGGUGUGCACAAAGGCAGCCUACCCCCAGACUUCACCAUCGAGCAGACCUUCAUGUACAUCAUACAUUCCAAAGAGGCUGAAAAGAACCCAGACAGCUGACUGGGUCCCAGCCGAGCCAGAAGGAGCUCCCAGGUGGCAGCCAGGAUAGGGAUUUUCUAAAGGCUGGUGGUCCUUUCCCAGCUGACGCUACAGCUUGCCUUGUCUGUGUUGUGUUAACAGAAGAAGGAGCACAUAGGCCGUUCCUGUUUUUGAGAGGCAACAGCCCUGUUACCGUUACCUCCGUACCUAUUGUUGCCCACAAAGGGCUGCGUCUUGAUGAUUUUGAGGCUGGCUUUAGGAUCUAGUCAAGUGGCCCUGUUAACUAGGUUUCCUUUGCCAGUUUCUCUAGUUUUAGUUUACCGAUAGGUUUUAUGCUGCUAAGAUUCUGACCAACAGCCUCACUCUAUGAGGUCUUCACUGUGGCUGUGACCGCCAGUCUUUGGCGGGACAACAGCUAUGAGAAGGUUUGGGGAAAUGUGGUCAUUCAGAAGGGACUAGCAGCAAGGCAGUUCAUCUCGGGUUCCCUCGCCCUCCUUGGCAGGGGCAAGGUGUCAGGAGCAGAGGGCACCACUCGCUCCACAGCUCCGAUCUCCUGACUGGAUGGUGAAAGUCUCUUGGCAGCUAGAUCCAAACUGGCGACCGCGCUUUCUGUGUAGGUUGGAAAGCUUUGGGUGUCCCCUGGUGCCACCAGACGGGGCAGCCUGAGUGCGUGGAAGAAGGGCUCCUGCUGGCUCCUCGUUUCCAAAGAAACACGGUUUUGUGGUGUGAGAACCCUGGAUGUCAAACCUUCCGUCAAGAGCAGGAGGACAGAGCCACCUCAGUGGAGUCGUCUGCCGUCUGGCUACCUCCCUAACUUUGCGUCUCCCAGGCACGGAGGAGAUGUCUCAGGCAGCAGCGGUCUUGCCUUAAUUCACACCGAGUCUCCCACUCAGGACGGUCUGACCUACAGUGUAGCUGAGAAGACUGUGUGAGUUUGUGGUGGAUCAUGAGCCCUUCUGGAUUAAAGGAACCUGAGUUACUGGUGGCGUCUAGCAGGGUGUGCAUUCUGACUGUCCCAGUUGGGUAACUUGUUUACUUGGUGGUAACGGUGUGGGAGUUUGGCAGUUCACCUUUGACCUGCUGGAAUUAUCCUGAUCUGUCAUUGCAUCACCCCCAGGGGGCGCUCUUGGAUGGUAGCCGGCUUAGGCCUUCCAUGCAGCUGUUUGGCUCCAUUCUUAGUCUAUGAAGGGCUCUUGCCCCAAAGGCUGGGGAGGACCCUUGAUCUUGCAUACUUAUGAGACGGCACCUCAGUAGUUCAUACUACCUCACCCUGCUCAGGUGAGCUCUAAGAGUCCCUAAUUCUGGGCCCAGCCACCGACACUGCCCCCAGUGGGACUGAGCAGCGCUCUGGGCUAUUUCAUAAGCAAGUGGUUUUAAUUAACUCACAAAGCCUUUCUAGACAUUAAUAUUUAUUUUAUUAUUAUUUUUUGGUUUUGUUUGAUAUACAUACUACUCAGCAUCUCUUUUCGAUAAGUGACUUUAAGGAAAUUAGUUUCUCUCGAGCAAGGAGCCGCAUUCCAACAGAGGGUUGUGCCUGUGGAGAGGAGAACAGGGCUGCAGGGUAGAGUGUGCCAGGCCUUUUAAGCAGCACAGUUUCUCCAAGUGUAGUCUCUAGCAGAACAAACCCAGAUCAGUCACAGGAAGAAGGUUUUUGCACAGUUUUUAUCCUUCCGACACGGGAGCCUCCUGUCUAUACAGAUAUCAAGACACAGGCAAAUGGAAGCAGCACACAGUUGGGCCGGCUGCUCCUCUUCCCCGCCCGUGAAUCGGUGUGCAGCGCCUUCCUGAGGACCCGGACGGUGCAGCUUGGACAGUUGAGGACACCCCUCACCGUCUAAACGUGGCAUUUUCGCGGGGAAGUCAGUCGCUGCUGUAGCUUUUAGUGUCUGACUUUACACUGGGGGUGUGUAACACACUACAGUUACAGAUCUGCUGAGCGCUCUGAGCUUUCCCUCCCUAGGCUGUUGCUAAGGAGUGAGUGCCGGCUGAUUGCCCUGAGACAGGGCGCCGGGAGCGGAGAAACCCUUUUCCUUAGCGUCCGGCAUCAUGGAUGCUGGGUGGUCUGUGUACUCAACCUGAAACUGUGAAGUUUUCCCCUUUUGCCAUAAACCAAAAAGCAGAUCUUUGAAGUUUUGCCCUUGAAACACUAAAACACAAACUGUAUCUUCUGAUCCCUUCAGGUUAAUUGAUCAGGGAGAUCCAGUUGGUCCCAGUCAGACAUGUAGCAGUUGGGACCAGAAGCUCACGAGGCUCAUACCCAAACCAUGCCUCUCUGGGUAGCCCCGCGUCCGCGUCCGCCUGUGUGAAGCUGUAUUUGCUUUCCCCACAGCUAGUUCGUCCUACAGGACGGUGGUGAAGGGGACUCCACAACUCCUGGUGGGAGGUGUUCACUUCAUUCUGCAUUUUUAACUUAACACCCAUUUGAGUUCACCCCCUGCCCCACCCCCGGAUUCCCAUUUAGCACUGUCCCCUGCUGUAUUGCUGUAGAGUUCUCUUUGACCUUCCAGUGCUCCAUCUUUCCUCUUUGCCUGCCCCCUUCCCCUCCUUCUUCUGUCUGCACUCAGAAUCAGCUGUACAAUGUUCAGAACUCUCAUUCAGCAAUUAUUAGGCGUGUCUAGUCGGCUAUUUGAAGAACAUUAAGCCAGACUCGGGGACAUUCCUGCUUCCUAAGGGGAAAUUGUAAUGUAGAUGUGGCACACAGGCCUUGGCAGCCUGUGCUGCUUGUGACCAGAGGAUAAGAUGGGUCCACGCCUGCUGGUGCCCCCCGCCAGCUCCAUGACCAUGGACAUCAGAAGCCCUCCUGAGUGAACCCCAGUAUUUGGUUCUACAUUUUAAGAUGCUGUGGAGUCCCCACAGUUCUUAGCUAGUGGGGAAGAAAAGAGGUGUUGGUGGGGCCAGGUGACCCUAACAACAAGACAUGGGUGAGAAUUAAUUUUUACUUUAUUGUGACCUGUCCCCAGCCCCUUGUCUACAGGGCAAACCUGUAAACCCCAGAACUUUUUACCCAGGCAGGACGUUGCUACUGAUUAUCUUCCUUUUCUGGCUUCCUGCUGUGCUUUCUCCACCAGACCCUAGACUACUCAACUUCGAAAGUGAAUUUAAAUCCCUGUAGAGACGGACACUGAAUUUGUUGGCAUGGGAGUAAGCCCUGUGAAGUGGCCUCUGUCUGUCUGGGAGUGUGUACAGGUCACAGGCACAUCAGGAGAGUCAGAAAGUGGGCACACAGCAUCCACCUCAGAGUGAUGAUCGACACGUCAAUGUCAAGAGGAAGAUGGCACCUGUGGUGGCAGUCCUGACAUUUCCCUUCUGCCAGUCCCCACCCACCCCGCCCGGAGUAGCUCAAGUCUCUUCUGAAGCAGAGAAGCGUUACAGUCUGACUCCUUCCAUUAAGUUAAGAAGUACUGACCUCCUAAUAUUUAAGUGUUUACUAUCUGCUGUAAAGUUUUGUAUAUUUUGUAAACCUUUUCCCCUAAAACAGUAGACGUUUAAAAUCGUACAUCUGAUUCUUUUAUAAUCCAUUGUUCAGCACAAAGUGUGGUUUUUAUUUAGAAUAAAAAAAGAGACAGACAGAGAAAAAAAAGUUUGAAGUGAGUUCCUCUUCCCCGUCUGCACACGUUUGCUGGGACCUUCAAUUCAGACGACUGGCUCUGUCCUGUGUGCUUCGGGGGCUCGCACCAGCCCGGCAGAUGCCAGGACUCUCUCAGGCAACACAUCGUGUUUCCCUGGGGCUGGAAUUCCCCAGCAUGGGCUUGCUGACUGCUUUUUAGUGAGAAAUUAGGUCAAAGACUCAGCGUUUCAGGGGAAAAAAAACCUCUGAGGCCAUCUGUCAGCCCGUAGAGAACAGUGGACCUCUGUAGCAGACUCAGCCCAGAGCUAGGAAGCAGGGGUUCUAGCCGCCCACUCCAUGGUGAAGAGACAAGACACUACAAUCAACAUUGCAGCGGAAGGAAGGCGGGAGAGGAGAGAUAUUGAGAAGCAUAGAUCAAGGCUGGCAGCUCCUCAGGGUUACCCUUGGCCCUGCAGAAAGGCUGACACAAGCUGUUCCAGGAUCCUCCCUGACCUGCCCGGCCUGGGUGGCAGAGACAGGUGUACAGUGGAAAGGUCAAGGCUGAAGAGUUUGGCAACAAAGUUGCACUAUCCAGAGUGAGCUUCUAGAAGUUCUCUCAGUGAGAAGCUAAGGGUGGCCUCAAAAGCUUCUUUGUCCUCAGGCCCCCUAAAGAAUGCUACCUGCCUCGGGUAUCCGGGAGCUCUAACACCAGCUGGGGCAGCAGGCUUGACUUCACUGUGACACCCCCUGUGCUACAUCAGACAUGGCUAAGUUUUCAGAG